rnacentral:tRNA from 1 species
GGUUAGAUGGCUGAGAUACUAGGCGGUAGAUUGUAAAUUUACAGACGGAGGGCAUUCCUUUAACCA